rnacentral:tRNA from 2 species
GGGCGAGUGGCGAAAUGGCAGACGCGCUGGCUUCAGGUGCCAGUGUUCGAAAGGACGUGGGGGUUCAAGUCCCCCCUCGCCCACAA